GGGGAUGUGGCUUAGUGGUAGGGUGCUUGCCUAGCAUGCAUGAAGCCCUGGGUUUGAUUCCCCAGUACCA
rnacentral:tRNA from 1 species